rnacentral:rRNA from 1 species
UGAGGAAUAUUGGACAAUGGGGGAAACCCUGAUCCAGCCAUGCCGCGUGUGUGAUGAAGGCCCUAGGGUUGUAAAGCACUUUCACGGGUGAAGAUAAUGACGGUAACCCGAGAAGAAGCCCCGGCUAACUUCGUGCCAGCAGCCGCGGUAAUACGAAGGGGGCUAGCGUUGUUCGGAAUCACUGGGCGUAAAGCGCGCGUAGGCGGACUGGUAAGUCAGAGGUGAAAGCCCGGGGCCCAACCCCGGAAUUGCCUUUGAAACUAUCAGUCUAGUAUCUCGGAGGGGGUAGCGGAAUUCCUAAUGUAGGGGUGAAAUCCGUAGAGAUUAGGAGGAACACCGGUGGCGAAGGCGGCUACCUGGACGAGUAUAGACGCUGAGGUGCGAAAGCGUGGGGAGCAAACAGGAUUAGAUACCCCCGUAGUCC